rnacentral:rRNA from 1 species
GACGUAGGGCGCAAGCGUUGUCCGGAUUUAUUGGGCGUAAAGAGCUCGUAGGCGGCUUGUUGCGUCGACCGUGAAAACCCGCGGCUCAACUGCGGGCUUGCGGUCGAUACGGGCAGGCUGGAGUUCGGUAGGGGAGACUGGAAUUCCUGGUGUAGCGGUGAAAUGCGCAGAUAUCAGGAGGAACACCGGUGGCGAAGGCGGGUCUCUGGGCCGAUACUGACGCUGAGGAGCGAGAGCGUGGGGAGCGAACAGG